rfam:Salmo salar isolate Sally breed double haploid chromosome ssa04, whole genome shotgun sequence.
GUAGCUCAGUUGAUAGAGCAUGACGCUUGCAACGCUAGGGUAGUGGGUUCGAUUCCUAUC